rnacentral:rRNA from 1 species
GACGAACGCUGGCGGCGCGCCUAACACAUGCAAGUCGAACGAGCGAGCCGUGCUUGCCUUUUACAAGCGAGUGGCAAACGGGUGAGUAACGCGGGUGGAACGUGCCUCACAUAGGGGUACAACAGUGGGAAACGACCGAUAAUCCCGCAUAAGCCCACGACCCGGCAUCGGUUAGAGGGAAAUGGAGGAUUCGGCUUUGAUAUGGCCCCGCGUCCGUUUUGCUUGUUGGUUUGGUAAUGGCCCACGAAGGCGAGGACCGGUAGCCGGAGUGUGAGGUCGAACGGUGACAUUGGGACUGGGCCACGGCCCAGACUGCUACGAGAGGCAGCAGAGGUGGAUAAUGCAGCAUGGGGGAGAUGCUGAUGCGGCGAGGGGGGGUGGAGGAAGAUGGUGUUGGGAUCGUAAUCCGCUGUUGUGGAGGCAGUUUAUGACGGUACUCAACAAGGAAGUGACGGCUAACUACGUG